rnacentral:lncRNA from 1 species
AGGCCUGGUGCGUAAGUCUACCCCACACAGUCCUUUGCGAUUUUCCUCUCCCACUUUGGGAGCCAGUGGAUGAAGAGGGUGGAACCAUAGAAUAGAAGGAACCCAGAUACAGAUCACUGUUCAGAGGAGAGCUGCCUGCCAGUCAGGAAGACCCAUUUUGGACUUUAUAAAUGCUCUGACCUUAAAAGGAAUAUUGGAGGCAGGAGGAAACAGAGGAAGCAAGAAGAAUUUCCUGGAAGGUAAUUAUUGUAAUAUAAGCAUACUUCGGAGAUAUUGCAGGUUCCGUUCCAGACCACUGCAACAGUGAAUAUCUCAAUCAACAUCUUCACCAGGAGUAGAUUUUAUCUUAAGAAGCCACUUUCUUUGCUCAUCCAGAAGCUACAACUCCUCAUCAUGAGAUUUCAGCAGUUCAGUUCCAUCUUCAGGCCCUAUUUUUAGUUCUCUUUAGUUCUCUUGCUAUUUCCACGACAUCUGCAAUGACUUCCUCAACUGAAGUCUUGAACCCCUCAAAGUAAUCCAUGAAGGAAGAUGACCACGGCCCCUCUGUUCCCUCGCCUGUGUGCCAAAUGGAUCCACAGCUAGAGACAAGCUCCUUCCCUUUGAACGGUGGGAAGCAGGCCAAGAUGUUUUAAAGACAGAUGGCAUCAGAUGCAGAGAAGCAAGCUGGAACUCGGAGCACAGCUGCCUUAUUUACUUACCUACUGGCUGCAUUUCUGAGAACCAGUUUUAUUCCUGUUCAAAGGAAGCCAGGCAGAGUUGGGAAAAUAUUUUCCUAGCCAGCUCCUUAGCACCACUGUCUGAGGGAAACCAUCUGGCCAAGAUGCCCUUCAAACUUCUUCUCGGCGCUGCAUUUUGAAUUGUUUCUACUAGUGUAUCUUGAAGUUUACUAAGCUUUUCUUCUGGAGUGUCUAAGAUGCUGUUCAUCUCGGCCAGUAUUUUUUCAUCUGUAGAAUUUAAUUCAGUCUUUUUUUAUGUUCUCCAUAUCUCUCCUUAACAUGCUCAUACAUUCUUCUACCUUUGUGAACACAUGGAGUAUAUUAUCACUUUUUAAUAUUCUGCUCCGCAUAAUUCUAGCAUCUGUAUCAUUUCUGUUUCAGUCAAUUUAUUUUUCUUCUUAUUCUGGGUCAUAUUUUCUUUUUGUUUUGUUUUGUUUUGUUUUCAGAAAGAGUCUCGCUCUGUCGCCCAGGUUGGAGUGCAGUGGCACGAUCUCGGCUCACUGAAACCUCCGUCUCCCGGGUUCAAGCGAUUCUCCUACCUCAGCGUUCCGAGUAGCUGGGACUACAGGUGCGCACCGCCACGCCCGGCUAAUUUUUGUAUUUUUUUGUAGAGACGGGGUUUUGCCAUGUUGCCCAGGCUUGUCUCGAAUUCCUGAGCUCAAGCAGUUCGCCCGCUUUGGCCCCUCAAAGUGUUGGGACUACAGGUGUAAGCCACUGUGCCCGGCCCUGGGUCGUAUUUUCCUGCCUCUUUGUAUGCCUGUUAAGGUUUGAUUGGAUGCCAGAUGUGGCUGGAAAGGUCACUCAUGAUUAGUUACUUCUACUAAUUCUCUGACUUCAUCUUCUAAUCUCCACCCCUCCCAGGUCUCUGAUUUUGCCACCCUGAACUUCUUGCACACUUCCUCGUUCAUUUGCACAUGCUGUCCCCUUUCUCUGGGGCACUCUUCCCUAGGCGGUCCCCAUGGGUUUCUCCCUAACUUCAUUUGGGUCUGUGUUCAAAUGUCACAUUACCAAAAACAUUCUAUCACCUUUCCUUGCUUUAUUUGCCUUUAAACAUUUAUAACCACUUGCCAGCCAUGUUACUUACUGAUUGUCUAUUUUUACCUCACCGCCCACCUCUGCUAAAAUGUACCAUGACAGCAUCACCGAGAACUACUGCCAUCAGCUAUAUAAUGAAACUAUUUUUAAGCAACAACAACAGCAGCAGAGAAGAGGGACCAACAGGGUCCAAUGCAUCAGAGGGGUCCAAACUGGUAAGCACUGAAAAAUAUCUAUUGAAUCGGACAAUUAGGAGGACUAACCUCCUCAAGAGUAAGUUCCUGCAGUUUGCUGGAUAAAGGGCAUCAGAGCGCCGUGGGUUGGGUUGAGGACAUCUUCUCCCUUACAGCCUCCUGGUUCUUCUCUCAGAAAAACUUCUCCUCCUUCCCAGCUCAAUCCUAUUUAUUUAUUUUAAAAUUUAUUGUGUAUAUUUAAGGUAUACAACAUGCUGUUAUAGGAUACACAUAGUUAGUAAAAUAUUUACUAUAGCAAAGCAAAUGAACAUCUCUGUCGUCUCCGCACAGUUACCCAUUUUUGUUGCUUUUGUGGCAAGAGCAGCUACAAUCUAGUCAUUUAGUAGGAAUCCCAAGUACAGUGCGAUUUUAUGACCUACAACCAUCAUGGUGUACAUUAGAUCUCUCCACACACCUGUUACAUUGUAUCCUCUGACCUACGUCUUCCCAUUUCUUCCUCCCAUUCCUCCCCAGCCUGCUUCCACCCCAGUAACUGCUGUUUUAUUAUCUGCGUCUGCACAUUUGAUUUUGUUUUUAGAUUCCACAUGUAAGUGACAUCAUGCACUAUUUUUUUUUCCUGUCUGACGCAUUUCACUCAGCAUAGUGUCUUCCAGGUUAAUCCAUGUUGUGCCAAACGACAGGACCUUCUUUUUAAAGGCUGAAUAAUAUUCCAUUGUAUACAGAUGCCACAGUUUUUUAAAUCCAUUCCUCCAUCGACACUUGGGUGGUUCCAUAUCUUGACUAUUGUGAAGAAUGCUGCGUGAAAAUAGAAGUGCAGCCUGAGCUUUUGCUGCGAUCUCCAAAAAAUCAUUGCCAG